GUGCCCUCCUUGGCAGUACAUAUGCUAAAAAGAAGGAUACAUAAAAGAUUAGCACAGCCCCUGGGCAAGGAAGACACGCAAAUCUCUGAAGUGUCUCAUAUUAAA
ensembl:snRNA U6 U6 spliceosomal RNA